UAGGGAAUAUUGCUUAAUGGGCGAAAGCCUGAAGCAGCAACGCCGCGUGGACGAAGAAGGACUUCGGGUUGUAAAGUUCUUUUAUAUGGGAUGAGGAAGGACAGUACCAUAUGAAUAAGUCUCGGCUAACUACGUGCCAGCAGCCGCGGUAAAACGUAGGAGACGAGCGUUAUCCGGAUUUACUGGGCGUAAAGAGCGUGUAGGAGGCGCUACAAGUUGGAUGUAAAAGCUCCCGGCUUAACUGGGAGAGGUCGUUCAAGACUGUAGAGCUAGAGUAAGGCAGAGGUAGAUGGAACUCCGGGAGUAGUGGUGAAAUGCGUAGAUAUCCGGAAGAACACCAGAGGCGAAAGCGAUCUACUGGACCUUGACUGACACUGAGACGCGAAAGCCAGGGUAGCAAACG
rnacentral:rRNA from 1 species